GGGGGGCCGAGCGGGACCGCGUCCCCGACGACGACCGUCGUUCCUUCGCUGUGGCCUCAACCCUCUGUACCAGGCCUGCCUCCCGCCUACCCCCUCGAAUUUCAUUUUUCACUCAGUUUCCCCCGGCCGCUCUUUCUUUUCGCUGGAAGCGGGGCGUUAGAGAAGGAGGAUAAAAAAGGCUCAGGGUGCGAAGCGAAGAUGGAGGAAGCCGCCCAGGCCCCAGACUGGGACAGUGAUGAAACGGUGAUAGACGGGUCGGUGACAGAGAGCGAGCUGGAAGAAGAGGAGCUGCCCUGGAGAAGGUUGUUCUUUGAUGACGACACAUCUCUUAGAUCUGAGUUCAGUCUCCCUCCUGGUAUAAGUGGAAUGUACAAAGGCACACCUUCUCCAGAGAUUAAACUUGCGUUCAAAUUCAGAGAGGAUCCACAAGAGCAAAAGAGUAAAAAUAAGAUAAUGCCUCUUAAUGAGAAUGUAGUCUUACAGCAACCUCAAGAUGAAAUGGAACAAAGUCAAGCUCUGUUCCAGAAUAGAGAAAGUUUUCCAAUGUUCACUGGGUCAUUUUCCCAGGCCGAACUUUCAGUGACCCACCAAAGCAUUCAAG
rnacentral:lncRNA from 1 species